rnacentral:lncRNA from 1 species
AAACGUGUUGUAAUCACUGUCGAUGAUGUGAACCGAAUCUUAGGACUUCCAAGGGAUAAUUUUGAGCCAGAUCCCUCAGAGGAUGAACUGAGACAAUUCUUUCAGGAUAUUCACUAUCAAGGUCAGAUUUUUCUCCCGAAGAUGUCAAAGGGAAAUCUGAAGGCUGAAUGGGAUGUGUUCUUUGACACCCUUGCCAAGGUGUUUGCUCCCACUAAUCGUAAGAACUUUGGGAAUAUAUCUUCAAUGCUGCAAAUCUUUGGAUUCAGCAUAGCUUAUAACCG